rnacentral:tRNA from 1 species
CGUGGCCCAGUGGUGAAGACGUUUGGGGUAACAACCCAAUGGUCGCUGGUUCGAGCCCGGU